rnacentral:rRNA from 1 species
UGUGCCAGCCGCCGCGGUAAUACGUAGGGUGCGAGCGUUGUCCGGAGUUACUGGGCGUAAAGGGCUCGUAGGUGGUUUGUCGCGUCGUCUGUGAAAUGUCCGGGGCUUAACUCCGGGCGUGCAGGCGAUUCGGGCAUAACUUGAGUACUGUAGGGGUAACUGGAAUUCCUGGUGUAGCGGUGAAAUACGCAGAUAUCAGGAGGAACACCGAUGGCGAAGGCAGGUUACUGGGCAGUUACUGACGCUGAGGAGCGCAAGCAUGGGUAGCGAACAGGAUUAGAUAC